CCUACUUUUGUACAGCUUUUUCAAACGAGAGAGAAGAGAGAAACCAUCCUUUCCUUCCUUGCAAAGCUGCCAGGUCACAUAUUUCAAUGAAUCUAUUUGGCUCCAUGCUUUGAAUUUUGAAAUUCAGAUUCCACUCUCAAUUCUCUCACAAUUUUUACAUCUUGCUAGAGUCGUAGAGAAGUUGUGUCUUCCGGCUACUAGCGGCGGCGAUGGCGACUAAACCCACUAAUAGAGGUACCGGAUCUAACGGAUUUGGUGGUGAUGGCGGCUAGGGUUUCGCCGCAAGCGGUGAAGAAAGCCGCUUCGUGGUUGUUCAAACCCGACCUAAAAAGGACCACCGUUCCAGCUUUCUUCCACAUCAAUAUUUAGGGAACGUGAAGAGGGAAGAACUGAGAAAAAAAGAGUGUGUGUGAGAGAGAGGGGGGGAGGAGGAGAGACGAGAGAGAAGAUAGAGGUGGCACAUGGAACUAAGGUUCCGGCGACGACAAGAUACGACGAGGUUGAACAAUGGCGAAAAAGGUAACAUUUUUAGGGUACGAUAGUGCAUUGGGAAGGGUUUCUUGAAGACGGCGUUAUGUUUCUUGAAGAUAUCGUUAUUUGGUUUGUUGCAUUUCAGGUUGUGUUUUACCUUUAAUGCAUCCAAUAUACACAUGGCAAGAAAAAUCAAGAACAGUUGAAGUUAGUUGUAAGUUGUAACUUCGAAUUCCCAUGUUCAUAUACCAGAAAUGACAAUUUUAACCAUCUAUUUAUGAAUGGGUCGGUCAAUUUCGGGUUGUGUUUUACCUUUAAUGCAUCAAAUUUAAUAAUUUUAAACCAUGCCUUGAUACAACCUCCUAAACCAUGUUAUCCAAAGUUCUGGAUUGUCAUUGUGAUAUUAGUGGUUUUAUUCACAUGUAAACUACCGGAUCUGAUUAAGCUUAAUGGCAUUAAUAUUAUCUUAAUCUUUAACAAAAGUUAUGAUGUUUGCUUCUGGUUUCUAUGGUGUGAAGAAAAAAAGAAGAGUAAAACUGAAAAACACUUGAAUUGGCAGUUGGUCAAUGAGACUAAACCUGUAUGAGUAGCUUAAAAUACUUUAAAUAAUAAUCGUACUCACUUAUUUGUUUCAGAGUUUGUUAAUUAGAUGAUUAAAAUACCGACGAGGAAUCCAAAGGAAGUUGAAAAAGAUCAAUACAAUGAAUUCUACAAGAAGGCAUUCAAUGAGUUUCAUGAUCCUCUUGCAUACGUUCACCUCACCACUAAGUUUGUGCAGGGUAAAGUGGGAUUUAGAAGUGUAAUCUACAUCCCUUGAAUGGUACCAAUGAACAAUGAGGAUGUAGUAAAUCCUAAGACAGAGAAUAUACAUUUGUACGUGAAACAUGUAUUCAAUUCAGAUGAUUUUGAUGGCGAACUGGCUAGUGUGGGAUUGUUGGCUGGGGUAUUUUGGGAAAUUUGGUAGCCUGGUUCAAAAAUGUUAUGGGCUGGGUGCGGAUGUUCCUAAGAUGACACUGAAGGGUGGGGCCCAGUGGCCCACAAAGAAUUCCUGAACACUGGUUAUUUAUUGCAGACGGAAGCCCAUCUCUGGUCCACUGUGCUGUUUAUGCUGGGGCUGGGUGGUUCCCACUGUUUAAUUGGCUCCGGGGUUUGUUUAAGAGUAUUGGACCGGGUUUGUGGGAUGGCUGUCAACUAGAAUGAGUAUGGCAGUUGUUUUUUUAGCUUCGUGUUUGUUGGUUUGCCCAUGGAUUCCCCGUGAUUGGAUUCCGGUUAUGCCAUCCCAAAUUUGGCCCCCGUUGUUUGGUGUGAAUAUUACUGUUUUAUUGCUGCUGGGACAGGUUUAAAGCUGGUGUUCAGGUGCGGGAACUGGUACAGUUGGGUGUGUGGUGAGUUUCGAAGCUUGGCUUUAUGCCUAUCUAUGAAGUCCCACACUAAACAAUUUUGGCCUGCUGUGUUAUGGGCCAAAACCGUGGCCCAAAUGCCUGUCCAAGGCCCUGGUUUAGCGCUGGGUAGAAAGGCCCAAAGUAUGGUUUUACAGCUGCAAUGGAAGGCCCAAUUCUGGGUUUUAAAGCUGCUAAGUAAGGCCCAAUAUGGUAUUUUUUGGUGUUUCGUGAAGGCCCAGCUUUGGGUGUUGUGGAUUAUAAUUGGGCUCAGAAGCAGACAUGUUGUGAUGACAUUUAAGACCUGUUACAUGGACCUUUUGGCUGCCACAUUGGACUCAAGCGUCGGGCUUUAUAGCUGUUUUUUGGGCCUCGGGUUUAUGGGUUUUUUGAAGGCCCAGAUUGGGUUGGAUAUAUGUUGGUGUAGCGGUUUGGAUAGGCUCGCUGGAGGUUCUCUUUGGGCCGUUGGGAGCCCCUGUUUGGCCCGGGUUAUUCACUGUUGGCACUGGUUAGCUACAAACCAUGGUGCAAUGUGGAAAAACGGUUAUCCGCAAGCUGAAAGCCGGGAGAUAUGGAUAUAUAAAAUGGAGUUUGGAUCUUUAUAGAUGCAACUAUAUCUUAUACUAUUGUGGUAUUCCUCGAUGUAGUUCCCCUUGUUUUGAUAGGCACUUUUGUAAAGGUUUUUACCAACUUUGGUUAAGUUGCAUUGUUAGCGUCAUUUUUUGUUACGCUAGGUUUUUUUGUAUGCCUAUACUGAGGUUGGAUGAUUUCUUAUUUUUGGUCCCUGAAGUAUGUUUUAGGGAUGAUAUGGGGUAUCCCCUCUGACUCUAAUUUUUUCAUUGGUUUUAUGUUA